AAUAUUGAACAAGGGGCGAAGGCCUGACCCAGCCAUGCCGCGUGUGUGAAGAAGGCCUUCGGAUUGUAAAGCACUUUAAGUUGGGAGGAAGAGUUGUAGGCUAAUACCUUGCCAUCUGGACGUUACGAACAGAAUAAGCACCGUCUAACUUCGUGCCCGCAGCCGCGGUAAUACGAAGGGUGCAAGCGUUAAUCGGAAUUACUGGGCGUAAAGCGCGCGUAGGUGGUUCGUUAAGUUGGAAGUGAAAGCCCCGAGCUCAACCUUGGAACUGCUUUCAAAACUGGCAAGCUAGAGUAUGGCAGAGGGUGGUGGAAUUUCCUGUGUAGCGGUGAAAUGCGUAGAUAUAAGAAGGAACACCAGUGGCGAAGGCGACCACCUGGGCUAAUACUGACACUGAGGUACGAAAGCGUGGGAGCAAACCGG
rnacentral:rRNA from 1 species